AAUGAACGUUGGCGGCGUGGAUUAGGCAUGCAAGUCGCGCGGAAAGGCUCCUUCGGGAGCACUCAAGCGGCGAAAGGGAGAGUAACGCGUGGAUAUCUACCCUCGGAUCUGGGAUAGCGGCGGGAAACUACCGGUAAUACCAGAUGACGUCUCCGGACCAAAGGUGUAAUUCCGUCCGAGGAUGAGUCCGCGUCCUAUUAGCUAGUUGGUGGGGUAACGGCCUACCAAGGCAACGAUGGGUACCGGGCGUGAGAGCGUGACCCGGCUCACUGGGACUGAGACACUGCCCAGACACCUACGGGAGGCUG
rnacentral:rRNA from 1 species